GACCAGCUGGCUCAAUGGGUAGAGUAUGAGACUCUUAAUCUCAGGGUCGUGGGUUUUUUGUGCCCCACGUUGGGCA
rnacentral:tRNA from 1 species